UACGAAGGGGGCUAGCGUUGCUCGGAAUUACUGGGCGUAAAGCGCACGUAGGCGGUCUUUUAAGUCGGGGGUGAAAUCCUGGAGCUCAACUCCAGAACUGCCUUCGAUACUGGAAGACUUGAGUCCGGGAGAGGUGAGUGGAACUGCGAGUGUAGAGGUGAAAUUCGUAGAUAUUCGCAAGAACACCAGUGGCGAAGGCGGCUCACUGGCCCGGUACUGACGCUGAGGUGCGGAAAGCGUGGGG
rnacentral:rRNA from 1 species